rnacentral:rRNA from 1 species
GACGAACGCUGGCGGCGUGCUUAACACAUGCAAGUCGAACGGAAAGGCCCUGCUUUUGUGGGGUGCUCGAGUGGCGAACGGGUGAGUAACACGUGAGUAACCUGCCCUUGACUUUGGGAUAACUUCAGGAAACUGGGGCUAAUACCGGAUAGGAGCUCCUGCUGCAUGGUGGGGGUUGGAAAGUUUCGGCGGUUGGGGAUGGACUCGCGGCUUAUCAGCUUGUUGGUGGGGUAGUGGCUUACCACGGCUUUGACGGGUAGCCGGCCUGAGAGGGUGACCGGCCACAUUGGGACUGAGAGACGGCCCAGACUCCUACGGGAGGCAGCAGUGGGGAAUAUUGCACAAUGGGCGGAAGCCUGAGGCAGCAACGCCGCGUGCGGGAUGACGGCCUUCGGGUUGUAAACCGCUUUCGCCUGUGACGAAGCGUGAGUGACGGUAAUGGGUAAAGAAGCACCGGCUAACUACGUG